UUAUUUUUUUUUUUAUACUUUUUUUUUGUGUGACGUACCAGUAAAAGUGUUUGACAAAAAAACAUUCAUGGGUCAAGAAACAGUUGUGACUUUGCCACUUUUUUUUUGCCGCAUAAAACAUGCUGAAUAUUUUGAAAUUUUUGCAUAGUUCCUGUUCCGCUGACUUGGAGAUUUUGAUUAUUGAGAAAGAUAUUUUCGAAUACGUGGAUCACUGAAUAGAUGUGCACAUGGCAAGGAUACGAUACGGUGAUAACCGGAUAGAGAGAAAGGAUCCAGACAAGAUACGCCGUCUUCAUGUUCAAAUUUUUACAUUUUUUACCCAAGAUAGGGUCUUCAAAGUCAUUUCUUUAUUGACAAUUUUUUAUUUCUAAACCAUCGUUUAAAUCUUUGAAUUUUUGACGUUCUAACUUCGGAUUGUCUGCUUCAUUGCCACUACAUUUAAUAAUGUGUUUUGCCAAUCUGGUCGCUAGCACUACAUGAUGUUAUAUCAUCCAUUCCUGCAUAAAAAUAACAUUUUGGUUUUUUCUAACUUUAUUGGAUUUGUUUCCUCUUUGUCUUCGUUUAAAUCUUUGAAUUUUCGAGGUUCUAACUUCGGAUCGUCUGCUUCAGUUUUGAUUGGAUCUUCCGCUCGCAAUGUUUCUUAAGUCUUUCGUCCUUUACAUUAGGACAUUUUGAUAUGUGGGUGUUUAGACACGAUGACUGCAGCACGUGUGUGUUGUUAAACGGACAUCUUACCAUUUUGUUUCCUGGAUGAUUGCCACUACAUUUAAUAAUGUGUUUUGCCAAUCUGGUCGCUAGCACUACAUGAUGCUUAUCAUACAUUCCUGCAUAAAAAUAACAUUUUUGCUGUUUUUUUUUUUUAAACUUUAUUAAAUUUUUCACCACUGCCUUCGUUUAAAUCUUUGAAUUUUUUACGUUUCAAAGCAAUUUUGUAGAUUUGAUCUAAUUGCUCCUUGAGGAAUUCUCACUUCGAACUGAAGACUUGACCGUCUUUGUAAAAGAGUAUUCGUUCUGGCAAGGUGCCGUGAUGCUUCCGAAAUGCCUGGAGAGGACAUGCCACAUAUAAAGACAUCUGAUCGGAUAGUUCUUUAUAAAUUUUGUCUAGCUGCUCCUUGAGGAAUUGAACUUGCGAGUUGAUCAAGUUUCAAGUUAUAAAUUCAUCUUUAUCUAUUUAUAAUAUUAUUCCUAAUUCUUUUGUUUUCUUUCCAUGAUUAGUUUCUAAUAACUUCACUGACAGCCCUCGGCUGUGAGUAGGGGCAUAGCUAGCCGCACUGGCAAAUAAAACUCCCCCAACGUGUCGGUGUAGUUAUUAGAUUUAAUUGAAAUUUCUUAUAGGCUUUCA